GGGGCCGACCGGAAUAGACAGGUUAGCAGUUGUAUAUGUAAGCAUGCAGGUUCACGCGAUAGAAACCUCAACAGCGGUCGCAAACAAUUAAACGGCAACGUUUCUUAUUCUCUGGCUGCUUAAUCUUUACCGAUUAAAUAAGCCAGUCUUCCCGGCACUCCGAUUUCUGCCGGAGAGCCAUCAGGGAGGAUCGCAAAGCAGAAUAAGCGGGUGAAGGGUCUCGUCAGCCUGCCGACAAACUCAGAGACUUGUGCAGCAAACAGUCGUGUUUCAGGCCUGCUGCUGCAGACAUAAACUGAAACUAAGCAUGUAGAAAGCAUAUAGGACGCUUUCUCUGGACGGGAGUUCGAUUCUCCCCGGCUCCACUA
rnacentral:tmRNA from 1 species